ACUGUUUUUUAAAAAAAUAAUCCUCAUAUUCGGGCCCGCGUUACCUUUCAUAAGGUAUCAAAUAACUUUAUCCAUCAAGAAAUAAACAAAAAAAUUGCCUAGUAUUUUUACCUCUGAUGAGUUACAAGAUGAGACGGUUUUUGGCCGACCUGUAGUGUAACUAUAUGUUUGUUUUGGUGCAAAUACACAAGGAAUGUCUGUAGAUUUAGUUAAAGUGAUGUUCUUAUGGAAAAUCUUUCUUUUGCUUUCUUUCUGUGGUUUUUUACUGUAAUUUCCGUAUUCACUAGUCAUCCUGCAGAAAGUUUAUGCCAACUUAUUAGGAAUUACAUUGAGGUUUUUGGCUCCUGUCGAUUAUUAAAAUACUACUCCUAAGUGUUUUGUGACAGCAGAAGAGUGUGGUGGGACAGUAAAGGUUCUUUCAUCUUUAACCAGAAGUCUCGAGUUAGAGUCUUGAGAAUGGGGUUCUCUUUAGUACAGAGCGGUAUAAUGGAUUAGUCAAGCCAUUGGAUUUUAGAUGCUUGAAGGUUUACAUGCAAUGAAAUUUUCCAUUUACAUCAACCGGUUUCUCUUUAACUGUGGCUGCAAGCAUUUUAUUUUCCUUUUCUCCAUAUAAAGUAAAUGUAGUUUUUAGUUUCCUAAUGAACUACUUUAUGUAAUUCAUUUUCCUUUUUCUUCUGGUUAAUUGGGAGUUAAAGCAAUCAGUUUUCAAGAUCAAACCCAAGACAUAAUGAUCCUUUUCCGUGUUUUAUGUCUUUAGACUAUAUGGUGGUUGUGGGGCUUGUGUUGUUCUGGUAUCGAAGUAUGAUCCAAAGCUUAAAAAGGUUGAAGAUUUUAGCGUAAGUUCAUGCCUUACACUUCUUUGCAGUUUAAAUGGUUUUUCAAUUACUACAAGUGAAGGUCUUGGGAACACCAGAGAUGGUUUCCACUCUAUUCAUGAAAGGAUUGCCGGUUUCCAUGCUUCUCAAUGCGGCUUUUGCACUCCCGGCAUGUGUAUGUCAUUUUUCUCCGCUCUUGUCAACGCCGAUAAAUGAAACAAGCCAGAUCCUCCACCGGGAUUCUCUAAGCUUACUUCGUCCGAAGCUGAAAAGGCAAUAGAAGGAAACUUUUGUCGGUGCACUGGAUACCGGCCCAUUGCUGAUGCCUGCAAGACUUUUGCUGCUGAUAUUGAUAUAGAGGAUUUAGGAUUCAAUGCUUUUUGGAAAAACGGAGAUUCCAAGGAAAUGAAAGUAAGUAAAUUACCUCCCUAUGAUCCAACUAAGAACUUCAAUACAUAUCCCGAGUUCUUGAAAAGUGAAUCCACCAAGAAUUUAGACUCUUUAAGGUACUCUUGGUAUACUUCUGUUUCCAUUGAGGAUCUACAGAGCUUGUUGAACUCCAACGUGACAGAAAAUGGUGCAAGCUUUAAACUAGUCGUUGGUAAUACUGGAACAGGUUAUUAUAAAGAAACUCAGCGAUAUGAUCAUUACAUUGAUCUAAGGUACAUUCCCGAACUCUCGAUCAUCAAAAGAGAUCAGGCAGGCAUCGACAUUGGAUCAACUGUGACAAUCUAUAAACUCAUUUCAUUCCUGAAAGAGGAAAGUAAAAUCAAUUUCGGUUCAUAUGGGAAGUUGGUGUCCGAUAAACUGGCUUACCACAUGGAGAAGAUUGCUUCACCAUUUGUUAGAAAUUCUGCUAGUGUGGGAGGAAAUUUGGUUAUGGCACAGAAGAAUGGUUUUCCUUCAGAUAUAGCUACAUUAUUUCUUGGGCUUUGUGCUACUGUUAGCUUGAUGACUCGUCAUGGACUUGUAAAGCUCACAUGGGAGGAGUUAUUGUCGAAACCACCACUGAACUCGAGAAUUGUGCUUCUAAGUGUUUCCAUCCCAUUUAAGAAAGAUCAAAAUUCUAAAUUUUUAUUUGAAACUUAUCGAGCUGCUCCACGACCUCAUGGAAAUGCAUUGGCAUAUGUUAAUGCUGCUUUCCAGGCUGAUGUUUCUCUCUGCCAGAACGGCUUCUUGAUAAACUAUAUCCGGUUGGCAUUUGGUGCUUAUGGCACAAAACACGCAACAAGGGCUAAAAUGAUAGAGAGAUAUCUAACCGGGAAAAUGUUAAACAUACAAGUUUUAUAUGGAGCUCUUAAAUUAGUCAAACUAGCAGUUGUACCGGAAGAUGGUUUACACCCUGAGUACAGAUCAAGCUUAGCUGUCAGUUAUGUUUUUGAGUUCCUUUAUCCCUUCACUGAUGCUCAUUCUGCCCUUUCUGGUGGUUUAUUCAAUGGAAUUAAUGAUACCUCAGUCGAAAAGGUUUUGAAAAGUAGUAAAGAUGGUUGCGUUAGUCAGGGGAGAAAACAAACACUACUCUCUUCUGCUAAGCAGGUUGUGGAAUCAAGUACCGAGUACUAUCCAGUAGGUGAACCGAUGAAGAAGGUCGGAGCUGCCAUGCAAGCUGCUGGUGAAGCUGUUUAUGUAGAUGACAUCCCUUCACCGCCAAACUGCCUGUAUGGAGCAUUUAUAUACAGUACGAAAGCAUUAGCAGGUGUAAAGGGAAUCCAGCUCGAUUCGAAUCAAUUAACAGAUGGAGUCGCCGCCAUUAUUAGUUUUAAAGAUAUCCCAAUCGGAGGGGCAAAUAUAGGAGCUAUUAGAUUUUCUGAUCCCGAGCCCUUAUUUGCAGAUGAUCUCGUCCGAUAUGCUGGCGACAGAAUUGCAAUUGUGGUUGCUGACAGUCAGAGGUCUGCUGACGUGGCUGCAAGAACAACCCUUGUUGAAUACGACACUGCAAAUGUAGAUUCGCCCAUUUUAAUCGUUGAGGAAGCUGUUGAGAAAUCUAGCUUUAUCCAAAUCCCGCCGUUUCUAUAUCCAAAACAGGUCGGUGAUUUCUCGAAAGGAAUGGCUGAAGCUGAUCACAAGAUUCUCUCAGCUGAGGUAAGACUUGGUUCUGAGUACUAUUUUUAUAUGGAGACACAGACUGCCAUUGCAAUUCCAGACGAAGACAACUGCAUGGUUGUUUAUACUUCAAGUCAGUGCCCUGAGAGCGCACAUCGUGUGAUUACCACUUGUCUUGGUGUUCCUACACACAAUAUCCGGGUAAUUACAAGAAGGGUCGGAGGUGGUUUUGGAGGCAAGGGAGUCAGAGCAAUGCCUGUCUCCACAGCCUGUGCACUUGCAGCAUACAAGUUAAGGCGACCUGUCAGGAUAUAUGUCAACCGGAACACUGACAUGAUAAUGACAGGAGGAAGACACCCAAUGAAAGUAACAUAUAGUGUAGGAUUCAAGUCGAGCGGAAAGAUCACAACAUUACAUCUUGAUCUAUUGAUAAAUGCUGGAAUCUCGGAAGAUGUAAGCCCUAUCCUACCAUUCAAGUGUGAUAAAAGCACUAAAGAAAUAUGAUUGGGGUGCCCUAUCUUUUGAUGUAAAACUAUGCAAGACAAAUCUUACCAGCAAAUCGACUAUGCGUGGCCCUGGGGAGGUGCAAGGAUCUUACAUUGCUGAAGCUAUAAUCGAACAUGUAUCGAGUUCACUAUUGUUGGAGGUCGACUUGGUCAGAAAUAAAAAUGCCCAUACAUUUGAAAGCCUCAAUUUUUUCUAUGGUAACAUUGUAUCAGUAGGAGAAUAUACACUGCCUAGUAUCAUGGAUAAGUUGGCUGUUUCCUCGAGCUUUUUCGAACGAAGAGAGAUGAUCAAACAGUUUAACCAGAAAAAUACAUGGAAAAAAAGGGGUAUUUCUCGAGUGCCAAUCGUGCAUGAAGUUACGCAACGAUCGACUCCGGGGAAAGUCAGUAUUCUGCAAGAUGGAUCGAUUGUUGUAGAGGUUGGAGGGAUUGAAAUUGGCCAAGGGCUAUGGACAAAGGUGAAACAGAUGACUGCCUAUGCUCUUGGUUUAAUUGAAAGUAGUUGGGCCGAAGACCUUGUGGAGAAAGUAAGAGUCAUACAAGCAGACACCUUAAGCAUAGUGCAAGGUGGGUUGACGGCAGGGAGCACUACAUCCGAAUCAAGCUGUGAAGCUGUUAGACUUUGCUGUAAUGUCUUGGUUGAAAGACUGACUCCUUUGAAGAAUCAGUUGCAGGAACAAAAUGUCUCUGUUGACUGGCCAACACUGAUUCGACAGGCACAAAUGCAAUCAGUACACUUAGCAGCACAUUCUUAUUAUGUACCAGAAUCUAGUUCCAAGAAUUAUUUGAACUUCGGCGCUGCUGUCAGUGAGGUGGAGAUUGAUAUUCUGACUGGAGAGACUACUAUUUUGCAAUCGGAUAUUAUUUAUGACUGCGGGCAGAGCUUGAAUCCAGCCAUUGAUUUGGGACAGAUUGAAGGGGCAUUCGUUCAAGGAAUUGGAUUUUUCAUGCAUGAAGAAUAUCUUACAAACGAAGACGGGUUAAUGGUCUCAAACAGCACUUGGACGUACGAGAUCCCGACUAUUGACACCAUACCUCAGAAUUUCAAUGUUCAUGUGGUAAACAGUGGACAUCACAAAAAGCGUGUUCUCUCGUCCAAAGCAUCUGGUGAACCACCGUUGCUGCUGGCAGUUAGUGUCCAUUGUGCAACACGAGCAGCGGUUAAAGCAGCACGUGAACAGCUCAAACAAUGGGACAAGCUUGACGGGUCUGUUUCAGAAUUCUAUCUGGACGUCCCUGCCAUAUUACCUGUUGUGAAGACACAGUGUGGCCUGGAUUAUGUGGAGAAAUACUUGGAAACUUUGGUGGCUCAGAAAUCUAACUAUACUUGCAUCAACAUGGAUCUCAAAUGAUACUGAACUGAAAGAGUUGGUUUUUGUGGA